rnacentral:rRNA from 1 species
CGUAGGUGAACCUGCGAAGGUCAUUA